rnacentral:rRNA from 1 species
UACAGAGGUCUCAAGCGUUGUUCGGAUUCAUUGGGCGUAAAGGGUGCGUAGGCGGCGCGGUAAGUCGGGUGUGAAAUCUCGGAGCUUAACUCCGAAACUGCAUUCGAUACUGCCGUGCUUGAGGACUGGAGAGGAGACUGGAAUUCUCGGUGUAGCGGUGAAAUGCGUAGAUAUCGAGAGGAACACCUGAGGUGAAGACGGGUUGCUGGGCCGACACUGACGCUGAGUGCGCGAAAGCCAGGGGAGCAAACAGG